GUACACUCCUACGGGAGGCAGCAGUGGGGAAUUUUGGACAAUGGGCGAAAGCCUGAUCCAGCAAUGCCGCGUGAGUGAAGAAGGCCUUCGGGUUGUAAAGCUCUUUUGUCAGGGAAGAAACGGUGAGAGCUAAUAUCUCUUGCUAAUGACGGUACCUGACGAAUAAGCACCGGCUAACUACGUGCCAGCAGCCGCGGUAAUACGUAGGGUGCAAGCGUUAAUCGGAAUUACUGGGCGUAAAGCGUGCGCAGGCGGUUUUGUAAGUCUGAUGUGAAAUCCCCGGGCUCAACCUGGGAAUUGCAUUGGAGACUGCAAGGCUAGAAUCUGGCAGAGGGGGGUAGAAUUCCACGUGUAGCAGUGAAAUGCGUAGAUAUGUGGAGGAACACCGAUGGCGAAGGCAGCCCCCUGGGUCAAGAUUGACGCUCAUGCACGAAAGCGUGGGGAGCAAACAGGAUUAGAUACCCCGGUAGUCCCA
rnacentral:rRNA from 1 species